AUUGAACGCUGGCGGCAGGCCUAACACAUGCAAGUCGAACGAGUGGCGGACGGGUGAGUAAUGUCUGGGAAACUGCCUGAUGGAGGGGGAUAACUACUGGAAACGGUAGCUAAUACCGCAUACCAUCAGAGGUGCCCAGAUGGGAUUAGCUAGUUGGUGGGGUAACGGCUCACCAAGGCGACGAUCCCUAGCUGGGCUGAGAGGAUGACCAUCCACACUGGAACGUGGACACGGUCCCGACUCCUACGGUAGGCAGCAUUGGGGAAUAUUGCCCAAUGGGCUCAAGCCUGAUGCAGCCAUGCCGCGUGUAUGAAGAAGGCCUUCGGGUUGUAAAGUACUUUCAGCGGGGAGGCGUUACCCGCAGAAGAAGCACCGGCUAACUCCGUGCCAGCAGCCGCGGUAAUUC
rnacentral:rRNA from 1 species